GACGUAGGGCGCGAGCGUUGUCCGGAUUUAUUGGGCGUAAAGAGCUCGUAGGCGGCUUGUCGCGUCGAAUGUGAAAACUCGGGGCUCAACCCCGCGCUUGCAUUCGAUACGGGCAGGCUCGAGUUCGGUAGGGGAGACUGGAAUUCCUGGUGUAGCGGUGAAAUGCGCAGAGUAUCAGGAGGAACACCGGUGGCGAAGGCGGGUCUCUGGGCCGAUGACUGACACUGGAGAAGCGAAAGCGU
rnacentral:rRNA from 1 species